CCCUUAGAUGUUCUGGGCAGCACGCGCGCUACAAUGGUCUUCGCAAACGGAUGCAUUCUCGAAGGAGAAUGCCAAUCUUGGAAUCUAUGCCUUGGUCGGGACAGUUGCUUGCAAUUUUUCGACUCGAACCAGGAAUUCCUUGUAAUCGUGAUUCAUCACAUUACGAUGAAUACGUCCCUGCCCUUUGUACACACCGCCCGUCGCUCCUACCGAUCGAAGAGUUAGGUGAAUUGUUUUGAUCGAUAAGAUUUGACUAUGGUCAACUCUCGUUGUGAAAUUCUGUGAAUCUGACUGUUUAGAGGAAGGAAAAGUCGUAACA
rnacentral:rRNA from 1 species